AUCUGGUGGUGAGGACAACUGGCACAUAGUUUCUUAAAUCUCUCCCAGUAUUCAUAUAAACUCUCUCCACUGAGUUGCCUAAUGCCUGCAAUAUCCUUUCUGAUGGU
rfam:Glycine soja cultivar W05 scaffold3622_10, whole genome shotgun sequence.